AGUGAACGCUGGCGGUAUGCCUAACACAUGCAAGUCGAACGGCAGCACAGUAAGAGCUUGCUCUUACGGGUGGCGAGUGGCGGACGGGUGAGGAAUGCAUCGGAAUCUACUUUUUCGUGGGGGAUAACGUAGGGAAACUUACGCUAAUACCGCAUACGACCUACGGGUGAAAGCAGGAGAUCUUCGGACCUUGGGCGAUUGAAUGAGCCGAUGUCGGAUUAGCUAGUUGGCGGGGUAAAGGCCCACCAAGGCGACGAUCCGUAGCUGGUCUGAGAGGAUGAUCAGCCACACUGGAACUGAGACACGGUCCAGACUCCUACGGGAGGCAGCAGUGGGGAAUAUUGGACAAUGGGCGCAAGCCUGAUCCAGCCAUACCGCGUGGGUGAAGAAGGCCUUCGGGUUGUAAAGCCCUUUUGUUGGGAAAGAAAAGCAGCAGGUUAAUACCCCGCUGUUCUGACGGUACCCAAAGAAUAAGCACCGGCUAACUUCGUG
rnacentral:rRNA from 1 species